rnacentral:lncRNA from 1 species
UGAAGAUUCAUCAGAACUAUUGCAAUGCUGGGAGAUAUUCCCAAUAAACUCUUGGGUAGUAGACAAGCCCUUUGACACAACCAUCUGUACAUUUGGGAGGAACCUCUCUCUAGACAGAAGCAAAACUCGAUUCCAGCAAGAUCCAGGUCCUGCCUUCCAUUACUGAAAAAGAUGGGCAAGUAACACACAUAUGCCUCAUUGAAGAUUUUUACCCAAAUAUUAUUAAAGUGACUUGGGAAGACGACAAGAAGAAUGAAGAGAAAAAUGCAGUGCUUGGGGAAAUUUGGCCCCCCGAUGACAAUCAACAAUCAUACUCAGUGAGCAGCUGGCUGACCCUAAAUAAACCUAGCAAUAAGAAUUAUCGCUGCAACUAUCAACAUGAAAAAGAAGCAGGUUUUGUCCUCACCAAAUCUCAAGACACCACCACAGUGCCUCAAACCACAGCAGACUGUACCAACAGACUUUUCACAGCGAGUUUCAUGCACAGGACAGCAUAUUUAAUAUACAUUGCCCUUCUCCUGAAAAGCACCAUGUACUAUGUCAUCAUACUCUUCUUCAUGUACAGGAUGCAAAGUCCAAUCAAGCGCCAGGGAAAGAAACCUUAAACUUCUCCUUGCACCUUCCAAACUCAGCAUUUUUGUCUGAAAUUUACUUUGCUUUGCCAUAAGCCUGUUCAUAUGAAACACUUUGCUCUAAAUAUCAAGACAUGCAUUUCAAUUUGAUUUUGUUGGUUUAUUCUCUAGUUAGCACAGAUGGCUUAUUCUGCUUGAGAGCGAACAGUUUUAUAUGUGUUCAUUUUUUCUAUUUUAUUAUUUUAAUUUUGUAACUGUGGAACUUAAAGGGCUCCUUGAUUUCAGUGGGAAUUUUGCAUCACAAAGCAGUGCAGGAUCAGUCUCUUAGGCUCUUAUCCUGCAAAAACACUUGUGCACACGAACAACUGUUUGGAUGUGGAUAGGCCAACUGCAUUCAAGGAAGUCAAUGGAAAAAAACUCACUGCUGUAAUUGUUAGUGGGCAUGGAGUCCUAAUCUGUAAUUUAAAAUGAUUUGUCAUUUCAUUUCUAUUAAUUUCAUUUAUUUCCUUUAUAAAACAAAAACAGGCUU